CAGCUUAGGACACUAAAAACCCUCUAGUUAU
rnacentral:piRNA from 1 species